ensembl:misc_RNA 7SK 7SK RNA
AGAUGUGAGGGCGAUCUGGCUGCGACAUCCGCCACCCCAUUGAUUGCCAGGGAUGAUUCAGUUGAUCUGGCUGGCUAGGUGGGUGUCCCCUUCCUGCCUCAUUCCUCAGUGCUCCAUGUGCGUCCCUGGCAGCCUUCCCCAAAUAGAGACGGGUCUUCAGUUGAGGGUAUAUGUACAAGUAGCUGCGCUCCCCUGCUAGAACCUCCAGACAAGCUCUCAAGGUCCAUCUUAGGAGAACGUAGCUUAGUCAAGCUUCCAAGACACCAGAUACAUUCAAAUGAGGCGCUGCAUGAGGUAGUCUGCCUUUCUUU